AUACGGAGGGUGCAAGCGUUAUCCGGAUUUAUUGGGUUUAAAGGGUCCGUAGGCGGAAUAUUAAGUCAGUGGUGAAAGCCUGUAGCUUAACUAUAGAACUGCCAUUGAUACUGAUAUUCUAGAGUGUAGUUGAGGUGGGCGGAAUACAGCAUGUAGCGGUGAAAUGCUUAGAUAUGCUGUAGAACACCGAUUGCGAAGGCAGCUCACUAAACUACUACUGACGCUGAGGGACGAAAGCGUGGGGAGCGAACAGGAUUAGAAACCGCAGUAGUCC
rnacentral:rRNA from 1 species